ensembl:snRNA U6 U6 spliceosomal RNA
GCUUAUUUAGGCAAGCAAAUUAGGAAAUUGGAAAGAUAAUGAAGAUUAGCAUGGUCCCAGUACAAGAGUAACAAAAAAAUUGAUGAAGUCUUCUGUUUUUUU